GACGAACCGUACGAACGUUAUUCGGAAUUACUGGGCUUAAAGGGUGCGUAGGCUGUGCAGAAAGUUGGGUGUGAAAUCCCUUAGCUUAACUGAGGAACUGCGCCCAAAACUACUGUGCUAGAGGAAGACAGGGGUAAGCGGAACUUACGGUGGAGCGGUGAAAUGUGUUGAUAUCGUAAGGAACACCGGUGGCGAAGGCGGCUUACUGGGUCUUUUCUGACGCUGAGGCAGAAAGCUAGGGGAGCAAACGGG
rnacentral:rRNA from 1 species